rnacentral:rRNA from 1 species
GACGAACGCUGGCGGCGUGCUUAACACAUGCAAGUCGAACGGAAAGGCCCUGCUUUUGUGGGGUGCUCGAGUGGCGAACGGGUGAGUAACACGUGAGUAACCUGCCCUUGACUUUGGGAUAACUUCAGGAAACUGGGGCUAAUACCGGAUAGGAGCUCCUGCUGCAUGGUGGGGGUUGGAAAGUUUCGGCGGUUGGGGAUGGACUCGCGGCUUAUCAGCUUGUUGGUGGGGUAGUGGCUUACCAAGGCUUUGACGGGUAGCCGGCCUGGGAGGGUGACCGGCCACAUUGGGACUGAGAUACGGCCCAGACUCCUACGGGAGGCAGCAGUGGGGAAUAUUGCACAAUGGGCGGAAGCCUGAUGCAGCAACGCCGCGUGCGGGAUGACGGCCUUCGGGUUGUAAACCGCUUUCGCCUGUGACGAAGCGUGAGUAACGGUAAUGGGUAAAGAAGCACCGGCUAACUACGUG